rnacentral:rRNA from 1 species
AUGAGAUUUCCCAUUCCUAUAUGGAAGUAAGACCCCUGAAAGAUGAUCAGGUAGAUAGGCUGGAAGUGGAAGUGCAGCGAUGCAUGGAGCGGACCAGUACUAAUCGGUCGAGGACUUAACCAAG